AUGGACUCUGCGGGAGGUAACCUCCCCGCAUGUGACACUGACGUCACCUUCGACAGGCCGAGCGAGCUAGACUACACCUUUAAGACAACGGCGGAAACCACGCCGGGGGAGCUGGAGCAGACGACGCCGGGGGAGCUGGAGCAGACGCUGUAUUUUGAUGCACUCAACGUUGGCGGAACUAUCGAUGCCGAGGAGCGCUCCCGUGUUUGUGUAAAGAAGCAGCCAGAGGUGGACGUCCUGCCCGAUGCGGUGGAAGGGACUGACGUUUGCACGGCCGCAAACGAGCCCCAGCCCCAGGACUUUGAGGCUGGUCCUGAAAUGGCCCAGUUCUCCAAAGAGGAGUCCCUUUCCUUUGCGGCCAGCUUAAAGGACCCGUCGGACCUCGAUUUCCUGCCGAAGGUGGCGAGCAGUGGGCGCCUGCAAAAGACUCAUAUUGGACGCAGGUCCACCUUGCUCAAGUUUGAUCCGCUGCUAUCGGAGCUUCGUCCAGUCUACCAGAGUUCUGUGCACCCUAUAGAGGAGCAACAGCCCGAGGAGCAACAGCCAUCUGCCUUGAACUCCAGUACUGACAGCGGUGAGAGGCUCAUUGACUUGACGGAUUCACCGAUGAAGGUGCGGAAAUUCAUUAGUAGAGAAGAAACUGAAGCUGCAGAACCGGUGUUUUCUCAGAAGGAGAUGACGCAGGCGCUCAAGUGCCAGGAACAGCUGUUCCAAGAGCGCCUGCUCAAUAAGGACCAGGACUACAUGAAUGAACAGGACAAGCUACGAGAGGAGGUUGAGGCUUGGCGGGCAAAAUUCGAACACUUGGGUUGGCUAUAUCAGCUGCAGGAAAGCACUAUGAUGGUGCUCAAGAGCCAUAUUGAGCAGAUUGUGUCUACCAUGGAGCACCACGUACUCGGAAAGAAAGACGCAGAGGAGAAGAUUGCUUUACUCCUGAAGAUUACUGAAGAGCGUGAUAAGUUGGCAGAAGAUUUACGCUACACGGAAAUCGCUUUUGCGAGCUUAUACCGACGCAACGAGAAUGCCAAGCAAGCAAUCACUAUGUUGAAGAAGUUCGAGUCAACACUGAAGCAGCAACUGGCGGAGUUCCCGGAAAGAAUCCAGAGAAGCAACCAGAUGCUCCACCUGCUUGGAGCCAAGACGGUGGAGAGUCCUGAAGUGGAUAGCGAAGAGUUUGAGGACUGAGAGGCCAGAUGAAGAAAGCAGAGGUCGACAAAAGAUCUCUGGUGACUCCACUUGAACAAGAGAAAAAUGCUCAGCUGGCCAAGCUGCGCGAUCACCUGCUCAACCAAGUAAAAGCGAAGUAGAACUUCUGGCAGGAAGUUCUUGUGCUAUAUAUUGCGCUUUUUUAUAUAGAUUUAAGUACUUGUGUCUUUUGUAAAUUUUUUUCUUGCUGUUGUAUGUAAAAUAAAAAGCAUGUUCCCUCUACCGCGCAUUCAUAUUUUUAUUAUUUCAUUACUGACUUUAUCUCGUCAGGAACUAUUAAUGCCCUUCUUUCUAGGCUCCGGUCCCAAGUAUAAUGUGACUAAAAAAUGUAAAGUGCCAAACACCUGGCAAGCAUAUAAAUGUGAUGGUAACAAUCAGUAA